CCGGGCUCCUAAUUCCCCGUCUCCUGGCGUCAGCCGUUUGGCACGCUGGUGAUCAGUUCAUUUGUAAAAGGCGUCUCAGGAACAGAAAGCCUUCCAGAGGUCUGCUGGACUAAUUGAUAACGAUGGUAUUAACAGGAGUACUCAAAGAAAACAAGGCCGUUGCAGAGAAGUUCAUAAACUAUUUGAGUCAGCGUUCACCAGUGGAUAUCCUGGAAAUGGAAGGGAUUUUGCAGAGAGAAUGGAUGAAACUGAUAAAAUGAGCAGUAAGAAACCACUAGGACCAGAUGGAAAUUGCUAACAGGUGUGUGUAACUACAGUUUUAAAAGGGUACCGAUACCCGGUGUCUACAGGAUGGCAAAUGGGAUGUCAGUUUUCAAAAAGAGUUCCAUGGAAGACAGCGUGCCUGACAGGCUGGGACGGGAAGUCUGCUCUCUCUCCUUUGCAAAUCAGUAGAAACUAUGGUGGGCAAUAGAACUAGUGGGCACCUGGAUAAAUAUGAUCUGCCUGGAAGAGUCAACAUGACUUUUGCAGAGGGAAAUUCUGCUUUAUGAAUGUACUGAAUUCCCUGAAGAGUCAACCUACGUGUGGAGAAAAGUAGCUUAUGAGUUGCAUUUCCAAGGGGUAGCUCAUCUGCUUGGAGCAGGUCACCCUGAAGAGGGGAUACUGCCUGAAUAUGCAGGAAUGAACCUAAUCUCAAAGCCUGAAAACACCCUGCUUGCUAACGAACUCCUUAGCAGGUAAAGCAGAAGGGGUGCGUGCAGAUGCCCUACCAGACUUUCUGUGACAGGAACAUUUCAGAAGGAAAAUGAAAUGCCUCUCUCCGGAGCCUCACAGGAAUUCUGCACUGCUACAGCCUUUUCUCACAGAACCAACCUAGAGCUCAAACGUACUGUUACCCCUCUUGUACUGCUAUAUUUCUCCUGUUCAUCUGAUCAGGUGUCAUUUUUGCUCAUGAAUAGCAGUCUAAAAUACCAGAUCCACUAUACUGCUUAAAGAUCUUGUUUCUUAAAAUAGCUCCAUUUAAUUUUUAGACCCUUUCUGUAAAUUAGGAGUGCUGUGGCAAUUCAGGUAUCCUUUACAGCCCUCCGACCUGUGGAACCAUCAAAAAUUUCAGCUGUGGUAGGUCUCAUUUUGUGGUUGAUUUCUGCAGGGCUGCACCCCGCUA